AGUGAACGCUGGCGGUGGGCCUAACACAUGCAAGUCGAACGGCAGCACAGUAAGAGCUCGCUCCUACCGGUGGCGAGUGGCGGGCGGGUGACGCAUAGAUCGCAAUCUACUUUUUCGUGGGGGAUAACGUAGGGCCACUUACGCUAAUACCGCAUACGACCUACGGCUUAAAGCAGGGGUUCUUGGGGCCUUUCCCGACUGAAUUAGCCGAUGCCGCAUUAGCUAGUUGGCGGGGUAACGGCCCACCAAGGCGACGAUCCGUAGCUGGCCUGAGAGGAUGAUCAGCCACACUGGAACUGAGACACGGUCCAGACUCCUACGGGAGGCAGCAGUGGGGAAUAUUGGACAAUGGGCGCAAGCCUGACCGAGCCAUACCGCGUGGGUGAAGAAGGCCUUCGGGUCGUAAAGCCCUGUUGUUGGGAAAGAACAGCAGUAUGUUAAUCCACCGCUGUCCUGACGGUACCCAAAGAGUAAGCACCGGCUAACUUCGUG
rnacentral:rRNA from 1 species